rnacentral:rRNA from 1 species
UACGUAGGGUGCAAGCGUUACUCGGAAUUAUUGGGCGUAAAGCGUGCGUAGGCGGUUUGUUAAGUCUGUUGUGAAAGCCCCGGGCUCAACCUGGGAAUGGCAAUGGAUACUGGCAAGCUAGAGUGCGGUAGAGGGUAGUGGAAUUCCCGGUGUAGCGGUGAAAUGCGUAGAGAUCGGGAGGAACACCAGUGGCGAAGGCGGCUACCUGGACCAGCACUGACACUGAGGCACGAAAGCGUGGGGAGCAAACAGG